rnacentral:lncRNA from 1 species
UGAAGACCUUAAACUUAGCGCUUGUAGGGAGGCAACCCAAUAUUUUAUUUUUCAGCUAUCCAGUUUCUUUUUAUUUUAUAGAAAUUUCUGAAAAAGACAAUUAGUCAAGUUGGGGGGAGCACCAUGAUCAAUAGAGUCAAGAACACACUAGCCCAGCAAUGAACGACAUCUUAAUCAACAUUACACACAUCGAACUCAGGUGGUGUCCUUCUUUGUUACACUCUAUUUUUG